rnacentral:rRNA from 1 species
CCUACGGGCUGCAGCAGUGAGGAAUAUUGGUCAAUGGGCUUACGCCUGAACCAGCCAAGUCGCGUGAGGGAAGACUGCCCUACGGGUUGUAAACCUCUUUUGUCAGGGAGUAAUUUGCGCUACGUGUACCUUUAUCUAUAGUCCCUGUAGAUAAAGCAUCGCCUACCUCGGUGCCAGCAGCCGCGUUAUUCGGGAGGAUGCGACCUUUAUCCGGAUUUAUUGGGUUUAAAGGGUGCGUAGGCGGAAUGCCAAGUCAGCGGUAAAGUUGCGGGGCUCAACCUCGCACCGCCGUUGAGACUGGCGGUCUUGAGUGGGCGAGAGGUAGGUGGAAUGCGUGGUGUAGCGGUGAAAUGCAUAGAUAUCACGCAGAACUCCGAUUGCGAAGGCAGCAUACCGGAGCCCAACUGACGCUGAAGCACGAAAGCGUGGGUAUCGAACAGGAUUAGAUACCCCUGUAGUC